rnacentral:rRNA from 1 species
GACGAACGCUGGCGGCGUGCUUAACACAUGCAAGUCGAACGGGAGUAUUGAAGAAGCUUGCUUUAGAGAUACUUUAGUGGCGGACGGGUGAGUAACGCGUGAGGAGCUGUCCAAUGCAGGGGGACAACAGUUGGAAACGACUGCUAAUACCCCAUAAGCCGAGAGGUAAAAGGAUUUAUCCGGGCAAGAGGAGGUACUCGCGUCCUAUCAGCUAGUAGGUGAGGUAACGGCUCACCUAGGCGAAGACGGGUAGCCGGCCUGAGAGGGCGAACGGCCACACUGGAACUGAGAUACGGUCCAGACUCCUACGGGAGGCAGCAGUGGGGAAUAUUGGGCAAUGGGGGAACCCUGACCCCAGCGACGCCGCGUGGGU